rnacentral:rRNA from 1 species
AGAGUUUGAUCAUGGCUCAGAUUGAACGCUGGCGGCAGGCCUAACACAUGCAAGUCGAACGGUAACAUUUCUAGCUUGCUAGAAGAUGACGAGUGGCGGACGGGUGAGUAAUGCUUGGGAACUUGCCUUUGCGAGGGGGAUAACAGUUGGAAACGACUGCUAAUACCGCAUAAUGUCUACGGACCAAACGGGGCUUAGGCUCCGGCGCAAAGAGAGGCCCAAGUGAGAUUAGCUAGUUGGUAAGGUAAUGGCUUACCAAGGCAACGAUCUCUAGCUGUUCUGAGAGGAAGAUCAGCCACACUGGAACUGAGACACGGUCCAGACUCCUACGGGAGGCAGCAGUGGGGAAUAUUGCACAAUGGGGGAAACCCUGAUGCAGCCAUGCCGCGUGUGUGAAGAAGGCCUUCGGGUUGUAAAGCACUUUCAGUUGUGAGGAAAAGUUAGUAGUUAAUACCUGCUAGCCGUGACGUUAACGACAGAAGAAGCACCGGCUAACUCCGUGCCAGCAGCCGCGGUAAUACGGAGGGUGCGAGCGUUAAUCGGAAUUACUGGGCGUAAAGCGCACGCAGGCGGUUUGUUAAGCUAGAUGUGAAAGCCCCGGGCUCAACCUGGGAUGGUCAUUUAGAACUGGCAGACUAGAGUCUUGGAGAGGGGAGUGGAAUUCCAGGUGUAGCGGUGAAAUGCGUAGAUAUCUGGAGGAACAUCAGUGGCGAAGGCGACUCCCUGGCCAAAGACUGACGCUCAUGUGCGAAAGUGUGGGUAGCGAACAGGAU